GAGAUUAGCCUGUAUUGUAUCAGUUAGUUGGUGGGUAAUGGCUUACCAAGACUAUGACACAUAACUGGUUUGAGAGGAUGAUCAGUCACACUGGAACUGAGACACGGUCCAGACUCCGUACGGGAGGCAGCAGGUGGGGAAUAUUGCACAAUGGACGAAAGUCUGAUGCAGCAACGCCGCGUGGAGGAUGACACAUUUCGGUGCGUAAACUCCUUUUAUAUAGGAAGAUAAUGACGGUACUAUAUGAAUAAGCACCGGCUAACUCCGUG
rnacentral:rRNA from 1 species